AUAAAAAGAGUAUAUAUACAAAAUAACCUUUGACUUGAAAAGAAUAAACAAAAUAACCUUGGAACAAAUAGUACUUGUCUACUACAGAAAUUUUGGCAAUAUUAGUCUAUUUUAGCCUUUCUCUUUCUUCUUCUUUCUCUUAUUUAUUUUUCAUGUUCUUUACGAGACUUUAGCUAUGGAGUUCUCUUUCUCUCUUCAUCUUUAACACAAUUCAUCUUUUUCAGAUUCACCAUGUCAUUUUCUUUUUCUAUUUCUAUUUCUCUCUCCCUCUCCUAGAAUAUCUUCACCACCUCUCAUAAAAUAUAUCAUCAUAUCUCUUUAUUUUGUUCACCCACAUGUUCCCUCUUUAUUUUUCCAUAGAAAUCUCUCUAUCUCUCAUUCUUUGUUUUCUCUUUUUGCCUGAAUUCUCCAUCAAUGUCGUUGUGAUAUAAGAGAUUAGAUUUGAUGUUAAAACAAAUGUCUGAUUUUAAAAUGCAUGUAUUUUAAGAACAAAACAUGUUAUUAACACUGAUAUAUUAAUAUUUGUCAUGCUAUCCAACAAAAACUCAUGAAAUAUAUAAAUAUUAGUCAUGUUAUCCAAUAAAAACCGAU
rnacentral:sRNA from 1 species